UACGAAGGGGGCUAGCGUUGUUCGGAAUUACUGGGCGUAAAGCGCACGUAGGCGGAUAUUUAAGUCAGGGGUGAAAUCCCGGGGCUCAACCCCGGAACUGCCUUUGAUACUGGGUAUCUCGAGUCCGAGAGAGGUGAGUGGAAUUCCGAGUGUAGAGGUGAAAUUCGUAGAUAUUCGGAGGAACACCAGUGGCGAAGGCGGCUCACUGGCCCGGUAC
rnacentral:rRNA from 1 species